GGUCUGAGGUAGAGCAGGAAGGCAACAUAAGUUCAAGUUCCUGGAGAGAGUGUCUAGAACAGAGAGCCUUGGCAUCUAGAGGGUCCAGAAAAUGGAAGACAGGAGUUCGGCAAGGUAGGUAAAGUAAGGUACAAUUUCUAGAGAUACCUCAACAGAUGUUUCUCCACAUUCGCUGCUCACCAAUUACCAGGGAUGUAGAGUUGAUAAAAGCAAUCCAUCUCAGUUUCUUUACAGACCAGCUGGAGCUCUGCAAUGUCAUGCUGGAGGCCAUUUGUAUAAAUUUUGCAACAUUUAAUGGGAGCUCAUACAUGGAGAUCUUAUACAAGUUCGUGUUUUAUGCAAUGUUACCAUCUGAAAAUAUUUUUCCUAAUAUCAAAGUCUGAAACCUAAAAUCAGGUUUCUACCUGUGUCCAAGAAGGGCGAGACAUUUGAAGAAAGUUUCCAACAUGUCAAUGUGAAACUACAAUCAAUACACAGAAAAUUUCUGUCCUCGUGGAACAUAUGUUUCAGAAGAAUCAGAAGUAACAUCCUAUUGUAUUCAAGCCAUUGAUGUAGGAAGAGAACUUGGAGAAAGAAACAGUGACGGAGGAGGAAAAUCUAUAGAUUAUCAUGUGUGAUAGUGUACACAUAGUUACAUACAUAUUUGUGUUUCUGAGUAAUACAUGUAAGUAACUUUAAAAUAAAAUUCUAUGGAAGAAUUAAAGUUUGAAUGCA
rnacentral:lncRNA from 13 species